UACAGAGGUCUCAAGCGUUGUUCGGAUUCAUUGGGCGUAAAGGGUGCGUAGGCGGCGAGGUUAGUCGGAUGUGAAAUCCCAGGGCUCAACCCUGGAACUGCAUUCGAUACUGCCUUGCUAGAGUACUGGAGAGGAGACUGGAAUUUACGGUGUAGCAGUGAAAUGCGUAGAUAUCGUAAGGAAGACCAGUGGCGAAGGCGAGUCUCUGGACAGUUACUGACGCUGAGGCACGAAGGCCAGGGGGAGCAAAACGGG
rnacentral:rRNA from 1 species